rnacentral:rRNA from 1 species
UAAUCCCGGGAAACUGGGGGUAAUACUCCAUAGUUCGUGCUGACUGGAAUGUUAUGCGAACGAAAGAUCCGUCGCUUCAGGAUGAGUCUGCGGCCGAUUAGGUAGUUGUUGGGGUAACGGCCCAACAAGCCUGUCAUCGGUACGGGUUGUGGGAGCAAGAGCCCGGAGAUGGAUUCUGAGACACGAAUCCAGGCCCUACGGGGCGCAGCAGGCGCGAAAACUUUACCAUGCGGGCAACCGUGAUAAGGAAACCCCGAGUGCCAGCACAGGCUGGCUGUCCACCAGUGUAAAUAACUGGUGAAGAAAGGGCCGGGCAAGACCGGUGCCAGCCGCCGCGGUAAUACCGGCGGCUCGAGUGGUGGCCGCUAUUACUGGGCUUAAAGGGUCCGUAGCUGGAUAUACAAGUCCCUUGAGAAAUCCGCCGGCUUAACCGGUGGGCGUUCAGGGGAAACUGUAUUUCUAGGGACCGGGAGAGGUGAGAGGUACUGCCGGGGUAGGAGUGAAAUCCUAUAAUCCUGGGAGGACCACCUGUGGCGAAGGCGUCUAACUGGAACGAACCUGACGGUGAGUAACGAAAGCCAGGGGCGCGAACCGGAUUAGAUACCCGGGUAGUCCUAGCCGUAAACGAUACUCGCUAGGUGUCGGCCACGGUGCGACCGUUGUCGGUGCCGUAGGGAAGCCGUGAAGCGAGCCACCUGGGAA